rnacentral:rRNA from 1 species
UACGAAGGGGGCUAGCGUUGUUCGGAUUUACUGGGCGUAAAGCGCUACGUAGGCGGAUCGUUAAGUCGGGGGUGAAAUCCUGGAGCUCAACUCCAGAACUGCCUUCGAUACUGGCGAUCUAGAGUCCGGAAGAGGUGAGUGGAAUUCCUAGUGUAGAGGUGGAAUUCGUAGAUAUUAGGAAGAACACCAGUGGCGAAGGCGGCUCACUGGUCCGGUAC